rnacentral:rRNA from 1 species
AACGAACGCUGGCGGCAUGCCUAACACAUGCAAGUCGAACGAGACCUUCGGGUCUAGUGGCGCACGGGUGCGUAACGCGUGGGAACCUGCCCUUAGGUUCGGAAUAACUCCCCGAAAGGGGUGCUAAUACCGGCUAAUGUCUUCGGACCAAAGAUUUAUCGCCUUUGGAUGGGCCCGCGUUGGAUUAGCUAGUUGGUAGGGUAAAAGCCUACCAAGGCGACGAUCCAUAGCUGGUCUGAGAGGAUGAUCAGCCACACUGGGACUGAGACACGGCCCAGACUCCUACGGGAGGCAGAAGUGGGGAAUAUUGGACAAUGGGCGAAAGCCUGAUCCAGCAAUGCCGCGUGAGUGAUGAAGGCCUUAGGGUUGUAAAGCUCUUUUACCCGGGAUGAGAAUGACAGUACCGGGAGAAUAAGCUCCGGCUAACUCCGUG